AUUCCAAAGUCUGCUCUCAAUGUGCCACUCAUCCCCUUGUGGUGGGCACAUGAGUGCCCAAAAGACCGCCUCUAAAGUCUUGCAAUCGAUGCUCUUUUGCACUAGUAGAAAAAAUGUAUUAGGCACCGCACAUUUCGCACCGGUUCUUGAAAACCGGUGGCAAAAGAAAUGGACGGUAUUGGGGAAAUGACUUUUCGCACCGGUUCCUAUUAAACCGGUGCAAAUUACAAACGAAAAAAAAGAAAAAAAAUAACGAAAGAAAGGGGAUUCCCACCGGUUCUAACCAAACCAGUGCGUAAUGUAUAAAAAAAAAUCGGUUUAUGGCUUUCUUUCUUCUUCUUUCUUUUUUCCCCCCUGCUUUCCCUCUUCGUUCUGCUCUUCUCUUUCUCUCUCGUUUUCGCAUCUCCUUCUCUUCCCGAACUGCACUCCAUUGAAGCAGCUCGCUCUCUCUCCAUUGAAGUGGUUUACGAGCUUUCUCUCUCCACUGAAGCAGCACCUCCUUCUCUCUCCAUAUCUCUGGCCUCCAUUGAACUCACGUGUGAUCUAUCUUCUCCAUUGAAGCCGAUUCUGAGCUUUCUCACCUCCAUUGAAGCAGCUUCGAGGGUUUCUCAUUGAAGCGCGCACAGCUACACCUCCACCACAACGACCUCCUUGUCACGGCGGCUUUGAAUAGUGGACCUGUUCGUAUUCUCUGCUCCUUCAAUGUUCCUCAACGUCUCCUGGAGAAUGGUGGCUGUGGGUUUUUUGAGUGGUAUGAUGAAUCAUCUUAAAAAAUUACCUUGGACCUGCUUUCCAAGCUACCAUGAGUUCCAGCCAACUCCUCUAAACAGGUAUUAAGUUUGGAACUUAAUGUUGAUAUUUCCUGUUUAGCGGCUUCCUUUUCACUAUCCAGUUCAGCAAAAUCAUUUUCCGCCUUUGAAAGUGCAUCUUCAAGAGAUUCACAUUCUUGACAAAUCGGAAAAUCUCUUUUGUUACAAUAAUCAGGGAGAAUUAGUAAGACGCUUUGCCAAUGACCAGAAUAAAAUAACAUGUGGUAAGUCUAUUUUCACUAAAUCUCUUUGUUUAUCUAGUUCCUAAUAAGCAUUGUUGGUCAGUUCUUGAAUAUUUUUUCCUUCACUAGACCCAGAUAUGCAAGUAAAGAUUGACUCGUAUAUUACUAAAAGCCAAGCCAAUUUCGGUGUAUUAGUUUUGGUAAGUUUACUAGUGAUAAUAUUUAUAUUCUUUGCAUUCUUCUGAUUAGAGUUGACAUCAUUCAAACAAUCAUUGGUGAACAGUUAACUACCUUAGCUUCCAAAUAAGUACGUGAAAGAAAAAUCCAUAUUAGAAAAUGACUAUCUUUCACCUAAAUUUUCUUUUCACGACCCAAGAACAUUGCCUUUUGUUUUAAAAUCUUUGCAUAAUCCAUUAUGGAGAUAUUGGCUCUAGACUAGAUUGUCGGCCCCCUUAAAGCUUUAAACAAGUGGGAAAGAGGAUGAAAUGUUAGAUAUCUUAGUCCCUAGGGAUAGUUGACCCGAUUUGAGGGUUGAUUUCUCAGGCUUUAUAAUUGCUGAUAAAAUCAUAUAAUUCUUCCUUGUUUGGAUUAAACUAUACAUAAGUAUUGGAAGGGAAGGAAAAUACUAAUAUGAAAGUCCCUGUAAAAUUCUUGUUUCACACUUUUCGUUGCAUUGGUGAAAUUUAGAAGGAAAGAAUGAUUUAAAUUCCUUUUUAUUUUUAUUCUUAUUUUAAAUAAAGGCUUUUGUGCAGAACAACUUAUUUUUCCUCUACGUAGAGAUUGAUCUUUAAUAUAAUCUAGCUGAAAAGUAAAUAACCACAGUAGAGAAAAAUUUGAAAAAUCAGGAUGAAGUUUUAUUGGACGACACAUGAGGUAAUUUAUUCAAGUGACCAUUUAGGUAAGGGGUGGCUUCUAUUUGUGUUGAUUUUGAAUAGGAUCUGAGGUGAUCUAGCCAUUUUUUUAGAAAUAUAUUAAUAUACCCAAUGUAUACAAUAAAGGAAAAGAAAUUACUUCAUGCUUGAAAUACAUUGUCUAUGCCUUCCAAAUCAUAUCUGACCAAUUCAUGUUGUAUUUAUAUCAUUUUUAAGGCUUAUAGACUGUGAAGUGAUACAUAUUUUUGUAUUGCUUGUCAAGCAAUUGGAUUCAUUUAAUCACUGGGAACCAGCAACUUUUAUUUUACGGCGCUCAGGUUUUCAAGUAAAGAUCAAUAAAACAGGAGCUCUUCAAAUAGCUGAUGAAUAUAAUUGCAACAUUUUAAUUUUACAGGAACCAGCAACUUUUAUUUUAUGGCGCUCAGCUUUUAUUUUUGCAUUUAGCUGUUCCAACUUGUGAAAUAUAGCUGCAACAUUUUAAUUUUUAUUGUUCUCUCUUGAGACCAGCACAAAUUUAGGACAGAACAUAUCUGUAAUCUGGAGGCACUGGGCAAAAGAUUGCCCAACUACUACAUCCAACGUAGCUGCUGGUGCGAUAGGAAACCAGAAGUCCGAAGCCACUGACAACAGAAGCUAUGGCAUGAAAAGUGGUUCAUCCUGCUUCAAAUGCGGCCUGGAAGGGCGCUGGGCAAAAGAUUGCCCUACAACUACAUCAAAUGUAGCUGCUGGUGCGAUAGGAAACCAAUCAACUGACUCCUGGUUUGCAAGAGAAGCUGCCACCAACUGACUCGAGGCUUAGGCCAGAUUAGAGACACUUGGAAAAUGGUGAAUAUGAGCUGGCAAAUAUAGAGAAACUCAGACUUGAACAGUUGCAAAGACAUGUAUGUGUUUGGCUGAGUAAAGCUCAUUAACAACUCCUGAAACUGGCAAAUGUAGACAAACUCGGACUUGAACAAUUCCUCAAAUAAUUGUAUCGCCAUUUUUUAUUUUGGUUUUUUUCAGUGUAAUAUUACAAGUUAUUG